rnacentral:lncRNA from 1 species
UAACAAUACGCACAUUAAAAUUCAGUUCAAGAGAAGUCCGAGUCCGAUGUCAGAAGAUGUAACAAAAGAAAAUAAAUAAAAUGACAAUAAUACAUACAUAACAACAGACUACUAGCAGUUAACUGACAUGCCAGCUCCAGACCUCAAUUAAACUGAUUGAAAGAUUAUGUCUUCAUCAUAUGAAUAUCAGGCACAAUCCCUCCCGU